rnacentral:rRNA from 1 species
UACGUAGGUGGCAAGCGUUGUCCGGAUUUAUUGGGGUUAAAGGGUGCGUAGGCGGCCCUGUAAGUCAGUGCUGAAAUAUCCCAGCUUAACUGGGAGGGUGGCAUUGAUACUGCGGGGCUAGAGUACAGAUGAGGUAGGCGGAAUUGACGGUGUAGCGGUGAAAUGCGUAGAGAUGUGGAGGAACACCAGUGGCGAAGGCGGCUUUCUGGUCUGUAACUGACGCUGAGGCGCGAAAGCGUGGGGAGCAAACAGG